rnacentral:rRNA from 1 species
AGUGAACGCUGGCGGUAGGCCUAACACAUGCAAGUCGAACGGCAGCACAGUAGGAGCUUGCUCUUACGGGUGGCGAGUGGCGGACGGGUGAGGAAUACAUCGGAAUCUACUUUUUCGUGGGGGAUAACGUAGGGAAACUUACGCUAAUACCGCAUACGACCUACGGGUGAAAGCAGGGGAUCUUCGGACCUUGCGCGAUUGAUUGAGCCGAUGUCGGAUUAGCUAGUUGGCGGGGUAAAGGCCCACCAAGGCGACGAUCCGUAGCUGGUCUGAGAGGAUGAUCAGCCACACUGGAACUGAGACACGGUCCAGACUCCUACGGGAGGCAGCAGUGGGGAAUAUUGGACAAUGGGCGCAAGCCUGAUCCAGCCAUACCGCGUGGGUGAAGAAGGCCUUCGGGUUGUAAAGCCCUUUUGUUGGGAAAGAAAAGCAGCAGGUUAAUACCCCGCUGUUCUGACGGUACCCAAAGAAUAAGCACCGGCUAACUUCGUG